rnacentral:rRNA from 1 species
GACGAACGCUGGCGGCGUGCUUAACACAUGCAAGUCGAACGGAAAGGCCCUUCGGGGUACUCGAGUGGCGAACGGGUGAGUAACACGUGGGUGAUCUGCCCUGCACUUUGGGAUAAGCCUGGGAAACUGGGUCUAAUACCGAAUAGGACCACGCGCUUCAUGGUGUGUGGUGGAAAGCUUUUGCGGUGUGGGAUGGGCCCGCGGCCUAUCAGCUUGUUGGUGGGGUACUGGCCUACCAAGGCGACGACGGGUAGCCGGCCUGAGAGGGUGACCGGCCACACUGGGACUGAGAUACGGCCCAGACUCCUACGGGAGGCAGCAGUGGGGAAUAUUGCACAAUGGGCGCAAGCCUGAUGCAGCGACGCCGCGUGAGGGAUGACGGCCUUCGGGUUGUAAACCUCUUUCAAUAGGGACGAAGCGCAAGUGACGGUACCUAUAGAAGAAGCACCGGCCAACUACGUG